GGCUGGUUGGUCAAGCGGUUAAGACGUCGCCCUCUCACGGCGAAAACAGGGGUUCGAUUCCCCUACCAGCUG
rnacentral:tRNA from 1 species